rnacentral:sRNA from 1 species
UUCCAGUUAGCAUGUAUGAUGUGUAAA